GACGAACGCUGGCGGCGUGCUUAACACAUGCAAGUCGAACGACGAAGCCCAGCUUGCUGGGUGGAUUAGUGGCGAACGGGUGAGUAACACGUGGGCAACCUGCCCCAAACUCUGGGAUAACUCCUCGAAAGAGGUGCUAAUACCGGAUACGAACUAGACAGACAUCUGUACUAGUUGGAAAGUUUUUCGGUUUGGGAUGGGCCCGCGGCCUAUCAGCUUGUUGGUGAGGUAACGGCUCACCAAGGCUACGACGGGUAACCGGCCUGAGAGGGCGACCGGUCGCACGGGGGCUGAGACACGGCCGAGACUCCUACGGGAGGCAGCAGUGGGGAAUAUUGCGCAAUGGGCGAAAGCCUGACGCAGCGACGCCGCGUGAGGGAUGAAGGUCUUCGGAUCGUAAACCUCUUGCAGUAGGGACGAAGCGAAAGUGACGGUACCUAAAGAAGAAGCACCGGCUAACUACGUGCCAGCCGCCGCCGUAA
rnacentral:rRNA from 1 species